rnacentral:rRNA from 1 species
AAUGCGCAUCUCUUUCGAGGGGCAGGCCACUUCGGUGGGGUGUUUCUCGGCUGUUAACUGCUUGAAAGUUUUAAAGAAAAACGUUUUACAGUUUCUUUGAAUUAGCGGUUGACAGGGUGCGAAUUCGCUGUAGAAUGCGCACCACUUCUGAGGCAGUCAGCCACGGCGACUUCUUCAGGGGUUGGCCGCUUUGGUCUUGAAGGGUUUUGCAGUUAGGCGCUUGAGUCGCUUCGAAAAAUUCUUCAAAAAAGUGGUUGACAACAGCGAGGCAGCAUGUAGAAUACGCAGCCUCGAUUGAGCAGCAGCUCAACGCUCUUUAACAAGUGAACCAAGUAAUUCGUGUGGGCGCUGGCCGAGGUAUUUCGGACACGAAAUAUCAGGACAGUGACUCGUCGAAAUUGAGUUUUGUCUUGAGCAAGAAUUAAGAACUUACGAGUUCUUGUAUGAUUUAAACUGAAGAGUUUGAUCAUGGCUCAGAUUGAACGCUGGCGGCAGGCUUAACACAUGCAAGUCGAGCGGUAACAGGGGGUGCUUGCACCCCGCUGACGAGCGGCGGACGGGUGAGUAAUGCUUAGGAAUCUGCCCAGUAGUGGGGGAUAGCCCGGGGAAACCCGGAUUAAUACCGCAUACGUCCUACGGGAGAAAGCAGGGGAUCUUCGGACCUUGCGCUAUUGGAUGAGCCUAAGUCGGAUUAGCUAGUUGGUGGGGUAAAGGCCUACCAAGGCGACGAUCCGUAGCUGGUUUGAGAGGAUGAUCAGCCACAUCGGGACUGAGACACGGCCCGAACUCCUACGGGAGGCAGCAGUGGGGAAUAUUGGACAAUGGGGGCAACCCUGAUCCAGCCAUGCCGCGUGUGUGAAGAAGGCUUUCGGGUUGUAAAGCACUUUCAGUAAGGAGGAAAACCUUACGGUUAAUAACCGUGAGGCUUGACGUUACUUACAGAAGAAGCACCGGCUAACUCCGUGCCAGCAGCCGCGGUAAUACGGAGGGUGCAAGCGUUAAUCGGAAUUACUGGGCGUAAAGCGCGCGUAGGUGGUUCGAUAAGCGGGAUGUGAAAGCCCCGGGCUUAACCUGGGAACGGCAUUCCGAACUGUCGGGCUAGAGUAUGGUAGAGGGUAGUGGAAUUUCCUGUGUAGCGGUGAAAUGCGUAGAUAUAGGAAGGAACACCAGUGGCGAAGGCGGCUACCUGGACCAAUACUGACACUGAGGUGCGAAAGCGUGGGGAGCAAACAGGAUUAGAUACCCUGGUAGUCCACGCCGUAAACGAUGUCAACUAGCCGUUGGGACUCUUGAAGUCUUAGUGGCGCAGCUAACGCACUAAGUUGACCGCCUGGGGAGUACGGCCGCAAGGUUAAAACUCAAAUGAAUUGACGGGGGCCCGCACAAGCGGUGGAGCAUGUGGUUUAAUUCGACGCAACGCGAAGAACCUUACCUGGCCUUGACAUCCAGAGAACUUUCCAGAGAUGGAUUGGUGCCUUCGGGAACUCUGUGACAGGUGCUGCAUGGCCGUCGUCAGCUCGUGUCGUGAGAUGUUGGGUUAAGUCCCGUAACGAGCGCAACCCCUAUCCCUGGUUGCUAGCAGGUAAUGCUGAGAACUCCAGGGAGACUGCCGGUGACAAACCGGAGGAAGGUGGGGAUGACGUCAGGUCAUCAUGGCCCUUACGGCCAGGGCUACACACGUGCUACAAUGGCGCGUACAGAGGGCUGCGAACUCGCGAGAGUAAGCCAAUCCCUUAAAACGCGUCGUAGUCCGGAUCGGAGUCUGCAACUCGACUCCGUGAAGUCGGAAUCGCUAGUAAUCGCGAAUCAGAAUGUCGCGGUGAAUACGUUCCCGGGCCUUGUACACACCGCCCGUCACACCAUGGGAGUGGAUUGCACCAGAAGUGGUUAGUCUAACCUUCGGGAGGACGAUCACCACGGUGUGGUUCAUGACUGGGGUGAAGUCGUAACAAGGUAGCCGUAGGGGAACCUGCGGCUGGAUCACCUCCUUA